rnacentral:misc_RNA from 1 species
CAAAUUGUAGGAGAAAGGAAGCUAAAAACCGCUCUCACUUUCUCUCUCUAGAAAAACAAAAAACUCUCUCCCUCUUUCUCUCUCUAACAUCAAUGGCGUCGCCACGCGAGGAAAACGUGUACAUGGCGAAGCUUGCCGAGCAAGCUGAGCGUUACGAGGAGAUGGUAGAGUUCAUGGAAAAAGUUGUCGCUGCCGCCGAUGGUGCAGAGGAGUUAACCGUUGAAGAACGAAAUCUCCUCUCCGUUGCGUAUAAGAAUGUGAUCGGAGCACGGAGAGCUUCAUGGAGGAUCAUUUCCUCCAUUGAG